AACGCACAUUGCGCCCAUCAGUAUUCUAGUGGGCAUGCCUGUUCGAGCGUCAUUUCAACCCUUAAGCCUCUGUUGCUUAGUGUUGGGAGCCUACGGUGUUGUAGCUCCUCAAAUAUAGUGGCGGAGUCGGUUCACACUCUAGAUGUAGUAGAUUUUAUCUCGCCUUUGAGUUGGACCGGUCCCUCGCCAUAAAACCCCCCUAUUUUUUAAUAUCAAGGUUGACCUCGGAUCAGGUAGGAAUACCCGCUGAACUUAA
rnacentral:misc_RNA from 1 species